AUGGAGUUGGAACCAGGAGCUGGAUCCUCUAGCAACAGGCUGGCUGAAGGACUGAGUCCUUGAAGAGAAGCUGGUCCAGCAUUUGGAGAGUGGCUCAGCCAGAGGGGCAUGUCAUGUGACCAUGAUGACAGGCGUUCAUUCAUAAUUUGAUGAGAUCUCCACCUAGAAUCUGGCAGCCUGACAACCCAGCACCUGCUCAACCCCAGCAGUGAGGCAGGAGUUCCUCAGCAGUAAAUGAAGGGUUAAUUAAGAACUGUGUAUCAAGAUGUUAUCGGGGAGAAAAGGAGAGGUAAUGCACUUUAAAAAUUACAAUUCAAGGAACAGAACCUCAAUCCAAGCCUCAGAAUCCACUAGUCUUGUUCAAAAUCCAGAUUCCUGAGCCCACUCUUCAUUCAUCAAACCAGAAUAUUUUAGGACUCAGCACAUGGUUUAUCACAGCGAAAGGAUGCAACGCAAAAUCAGCCCAGGGAAAUGGCACAUUUGGCAAAACCAGAGGAAGAAUCAGCUUCCAAGAACAGCUUCCAAGAAUCCUGUCCUUUUGGAGACACAGAAAAGUGAGCCACAUUGAAAGUGUGAUGCUUUAUGUGCCACGGUGAUAUCUAUUGGCACAAUCAUGAAAAGCUCUGUUUUGAGUAGUUUCUUGACAGUGGAAAUGGCUUUGUACUGACUACACUCCAUCAGACAGCCCCUGGAACAAUCAAGAAGAGCCGUUCACAAGAUGCCAGAUUUGACUUGGGCACAGAGAAUGUGGUCAGAGAACAAGAGGGCCAGCACCUCUCAAAUAAAACACAAUCUACUUAGAAUAAUAGAAGAACCAUACAGAAUGGCUACUGCAAAUGAACAGAUUCUGUUUUGUCCAAUAAGAUCAUCAAGGCAGAAGAGCUUUACUCAAUGCAUCAUUUAUUUCAAUGAAGGCCAAACUUCUGGGAUGUGAACCCCUUUCAACAUUGGAGAAUUGCUUCCCCUCCUGGCAACAUAAAUAUACUACCCCAGAAUUAAGGGGGAAAUUAUAGUGGUUUUAG